rnacentral:rRNA from 1 species
AGGACGAACGCUGGCGGCGUGCUUAACACAUGCAAGUCGAGCGAGGCCCCUUCCUUCGGGAGGGGAGCCCUAGCGGCGAACGGGUGAGUAACACGUGGGCAAUCUGCCCUAGCACUGGGAUAACUUCGGGAAACCGGAGCUAAUACCGGAUAUGACACAUGGUCGCAUGGUCUGUGUGUGGAAAGAUUUAUCGGUCAGGGAUGAGCUCGCGGCCUAUCAGCUUGUUGGUGGGGUAAUGGCCCACCAAGGCGACGACGGGUA